UACGUAGGGUGCAAGCGUUGUCCGGAAUUAUUGGGCGUAAAGAGCUCGUAGGCGGUUUGUCGCGUCUGGUGUGAAAAUCCAGGGCUUAACCCUGGACCUGCAUCGGGUACGGGCAGACUAGAGUGCGGUAGGGGAGAUCGGAAUUCCUGGUGUAGCGGUGAAAUGCGCAGAUAUCAGGAGGAACACCGGUGGCGAAGGCGGAUCUCUGGGCCUUACCUGACGCUGAGGCGCGAAAGCUAGGGGAGCGAACAGG
rnacentral:rRNA from 1 species